UUUUUAGUGGCGGACGGGUGAGUAACGCGUGGGUAACCUACCCAUAAAAUCGGGACAACCCUUGGAAACGAGGGCUAAUACCGAAUAAUCUUAGACGUUGGCAUCAACGUAUAAGGAAAGGUGGCCUCUGAAAAUGCUACCGAUUAUGGAUGGACCCGCGUCUGAUUAGCUAGUUGGUGGGGUAAAGGCCUACCAAGGCGACGAUCAGUAGCCGGCCUGAGAGGGUGAACGGCCACACUGGGACUGAGACACGGCCCAGACUCCUACGGGAGGCAGCAGUGGGGAAUCUUCCGCAAUGGACGAAAGUCUGACGGAGCAACGCCGCGUGUAUGAUGAAGGUCUUCGGAUUGUAAAGUACUGUCUUUGGGGAAGAAUGACUGGUUUGAAAAUAUUGAGUCAGUAUGACGGUACCCAAGGAGGAAGCCCCGGCUAACUACGUGCCAGCAGCCGCGGUAAUACGUAGGGGGCAAGCGUUGUCCGGAAUUAUUGGGCGUAAAGGGCGCGUAGGCGGAUUUUUAAGUCUGUUGUGAAAGAUCAGGGCUCAACCCUGAGAGUGCAUCGGAAACUGGAGAUCUUGAGGACAGGAGAGGAAAGUGGAAUUCCACGUGUAGCGGUGAAAUGCGUAGAUAUGUGGAGGAACACCAGUGGCGAAGGCGACUUUCUGGACUGUAACUGACGCUGA
rnacentral:rRNA from 1 species